UACGUAGGUGACAAGCGUUGUCCGGAUUUACUGGGCGUAAAGAGCGCGCAGGCGGUCGAUCAAGUCGAGUGUGAAAGCCCCCGGCUCAACUGGGGAGGGUCAUUCGAUACUGAUCGACUCGAAGGCAGGAGAGGGUAGUGGAAUUCCUGGUGUAGUGGUGAAAUGCGUAGAUAUCAGGAGGAAUACCGAUGGCGAAGGCAGGUCUCUGGGCUGACACUGACGCUCAUGCACGAAAGCGUGGGGAGCAAACAGG
rnacentral:rRNA from 1 species